CGUAUUUCUGCAUUGAAGGAACACCUAAUGGGGUGGCCUCCAUCCCAGAUCAACCUUUCGAAUAGUAGCAUUGCUAGAAACGUUUUUAGGGCAUUUUAGAUUAAUUCCAAUGUUAAAGCAAUACAUUUCCAAAUCAUUAUUUUACAGAAACCAAGCAGAAAGAAGCCAAUAACUCCAGAGCCCGGGAAGAGGAAUAAGCAGGCAGCACGACACUGUGUUUGGCACACAGCCAAGACGAAAAUCGCGCUGAUAGCGCCUCACGGAAGGGAGACGCACAGGUGAUUUAGCAGACAAGCUGGCAAUUCUGCAAAGAUUUCCUCUCAAAAACUUCCUCCGAUCGCGGCCCUUGCUGGGUUUACAAGGCCAUGUAUGAUAGUAGGCGUCGCAUAUGGACCCCGAUUUUAGGCAACGAGCCCUCGUUCAACGAUCAGCCCCCCAUGUCCCCCCUGGCUGCCAGGACCCCCGGCUCCGCACUCCUGUCCCGCACCAGGACGCGCAGAAAGCCCAGACUGCUCCACAGCCCCGGCCCAAACUUGGUUCUAACAACGGCUGUUGAGCUCUGAAAGACUGAGCUGCUCCUUCAGUACACAGGAAAAUAAAAGGGGCAGAGCCGUGCAGGUACAGACCCACCCAUGGGUUAGGACAGCACCAGCAGCUCGUGUGCUGCCACUGAGCUGUGGGAACUGAGAGCAGGAACUGCCACACCGUACUGCUGGAAGGGAGAGAUGAAGCACAUCUGCCUAAAUCACAAACUCCAGCACAAUGCAUGACUCAUUCUUGCACCUAGUAAAGGAAUUGCUUUUGCUCAGGCAGCACCAGCAGCUGAAUUUUAUAUCCAGUUUUCCAGCUUUGUUUGCUUCCUUCCAAAAAAAAUGAAAAAGUGAGGCCUUGCAUUUUUCAGACUAUUCAUGAAAGUUGUCUAUUUCACUGUGCCUGCAUGGUACUUAAAACACACCCCAUCACAGAACACAAUUUUUUCAAAAAUAAGUGGGCAAAAUCAAUCUCUUAAAAAAAAAAUUCACAAAAAAAAAUCUCAAAAAGGGGGGAAAAAAAAGGAAAAAAAACCCUUUAAGAGCCCUAUCUGAAGUUACGAAUAUCUCCAGGGUCAUUCAAGCACAUAAAAGCAGGUAAAUUAGCCCACAGCAUUAUUUUCAAGUAAUUAUCCAACCAGAACAAAUGCAAAUGGUUAAAUUUAAUCUAAACAGACUGCACUGGGCAAACAGAUUCUGAACUAGGGAGUCCACAGAAUUGGAGUCCUAGGGAGUCCUAAUUGUCUAAGAGUCACAACA